CACUCAAGAAAGUGCUGUGAGAGUUGCCUAACCAACAGGGCAGCCCAUGCACUACUCUCCCCAAUGUGCUUGGUCUUCAGGACAAGACACAAAGCCGGCUAAAUCAUCUGAUGCCAUCAACAUCAAGUAGAGCUAUGAAGAACAGAAUAGUUCAGCUGAGCUGAGCAGCACAGAGCCCCACAGUGCACUACUCUGGAAUGCACUAAGGAAUUCUACCCUACCAGGUAAAAGAAAACACAAACAGCAGAGGUGGCAAUUAGAAGAAGACCAUUUAAUUUUGCCCAAUUUGAUGUAAGAAACAACAUUCAAGUUUCUGCAAACAGUGCUUCAUCAAUGACUAAAACCCUUAUCCAGAGUGACUACC